GGUUCCUAGAAUAUUCACAUUUAUAUCCUUUGAUGAUUAUCAAUAUUGUUCUCGAAAAUUUGCUGUUCUUUCAGCUCAGUACCCUCUAGUACUUUCAUUAUCCAAUGGACCAUAUAAAUAUGCAGCCACUACAUCAAUUUACUGCAAGUCUAAUUUUUUUUCUCUUAUAUAGCCAGACUUUUGAGAAAUUUAAAAGUAGUUGCAUCCACCACAUGGGAGUAUAUCUCCUCAUAAUCUAUUACUGGUCUUUGUGAGAAUCCUUGUGCAACAUCAGCUUUAUAUCUCACGAUUUCUAUUCCUCACAAGACCCAUUUAUAUCCACUGGUUUUAACAUCAUAUGGCGUCUUAAUCAUAUGGCCAAAUACGUCUUUCUUCUUUAAACUAUUUAACCCCACGUUUCCAUUCAAUCCAAUCUGUUCUACGAGUGCGCACUCUUAUAUUGACGUGGGUUCAUGAUCCUCGCUUAUAUUCAUAUGUUCAAGUGCUACAUUUUAUCACCUUAUGUCGACAUUCUUUAUAUGUUCCAUUAUGUUCCAGACAUGAUAUAAUCGAUUGAGAUUCAUUAUUAUCAGGACCUUUAAUACUCUGCAGCUUGGCGUCCCAAGCUACAUUGUUUGGUGCCUGUACCUUAGAGCCGGUCGGCCUUUGUCUAUGUCUGGGAUGGUUUUCUCAACCUCGGAUUUUAUCAUUAUAUGCACCUUUCUCUUUUGUUUCCGAGGAUUCUUAACUUUUGGAACUUAUUGGUCUAUCUUGUAUAGACUCUGUAGCAACUUGACUGUGUCUCUCUUGGACAUCAAUUUCGUUGGUGCUUUACAAGCUGGUUUAUAUAUGACCUAGUCAUUCUUUUUCGGGUCAGCAAAUGUGUCUGGCAUUUGAUUAGCUAGCUUUGUAAAUGGAUGUCUAUUUCACAUUCUUUAGUCCGGGGAUCUUGCCAAGACAUUGAUUUUACCAGCUUAUUACUUUCUCCCCCUAAUGUUGGAUAGUCGGAUUCAUUAAACUUGCAAUCCGUGUUCUUGGCCACUAAAUAGAUCACCCAUUUUUGGCUCAAGGUACUUCAUUAUUGUGGGAGAUUCAUAUCCAACAUAUAUCCCCAUCCUCAUCCUCUUCUAAGGAUCCAUCUUAGACGGCACAUAUUUGUGGUGGCUUAUCCAAAUAUCUCAAGAUGGUAUAUGUCUGGCUCAUGACCCGUAAUAAAUUUGAGAUAGGAAUAUCUAUGCUCACUCAAAAUGGUCUGAUGCUUGCAUGUAAAUUCGUGUGUCCCCAAGCCUUGGACUGAGAGUUUGGACCUAUGGCCAAAACAGAUUUAUAAAAGGAUUCAGCCAAGCUAUAUAUAUAGUAUGGACAUGAGCGGAUUUGUCCUCACUGCCCCCUCAUGGACAUACUAUAAUCUUUAAGUGCUUGGGACAUCAUGGCCUAAUGAGUUUCCCUUGUGUUCAUGCGACACACGUGAGAUUCUAUGGGAUAACUCUUUGUGCCCUUUCCAAUAUCAAUUUCGCAUCAUGUUUUGGACCAGGAUGGCCAAUCCGGUCAUACCAUAAAGUGUAUAAUUUUGUGAGUAAACCAUUCUGGUUACCAUGGCUUUUGCCUCUAUCAUACUGAUCUUGGCAUAGUCUAGAUCAAUAGAUAAUGCAGGUAUAGUCUAGAUCACUUUUCUAUGACCUUGGGCAAUUUUUCAUAACUCUGGAUGAACUUUUAUUUCUUUUUUCCCAUUGUAUCAUUGUGGAAACCAUUCUUAUAUCUCUAUAUAAUCUCAAUGGGUUUCUCUGGGUGAAUAUAAAGAAUUUAAAUGCUUGCCCUUACACAUAUCUGGCCGUAGCCCUUAAUGUGUACCAUACCCGCAAUUUAUAAACUCAUAUUGGUGUUUUCAAUAAUAAAAUGAUUCAUUUAUUAUUAGAGUUUAAAAUAAGUUUUAAAGAAAUGGCAACAUGGAAAUGAAAACACCAAAUCAAAGGACAUCAAAAUCUAGAUUACAAA